rnacentral:rRNA from 1 species
AACGCUAGCUACAGGCUUAACACAUGCAAGUCGAGGGGAAACGAUAUUGGAAGCUUGCUUCCGAUAGGCGUCGACCGGCGCACGGGUGAGUAACGCGUAUCCAACCUGCCCACCACUUGGGGAUAACCUUGCGAAAGUAAGACUAAUACCCAAUGAUAUCUCUAGAAGACAUCUGAAAGAGAUUAAAGAUUUAUCGGUGAUGGAUGGGGAUGCGUCUGAUUAGCUUGUUGGCGGGGUAACGGCCCACCAAGGCAACGAUCAGUAGGGGUUCUGAGAGGAAGGUCCCCCACAUUGGAACUGAGACACGGUCCAAACUCCUACGGGGGGCAGCAGUGAGGAAUAUUGGUCAAUGGACGAGAGUCUGAACCAGCCAAGUAGCGUGCAGGAAGACGGCCCUAUGGGUUGUAAACUGCUUUUAUAAGGGAAUAAAGUGAGUCUCGUGAGACUUUUUGCAUGUACCUUAUGAAUAAGGACCGGCUAAUUCCGUGCCAGCAGCCGCGGUAAUACGGAAGGUCCGGGCGUUAUCCGGAUUUAUUGGGUUUAAAGGGAGCGUAGGCCGGAGAUUAAGCGUGUUGUGAAAUGUAGAUGCUCAACAUCUGAACUGCAGCGCGAACUGGUUUCCUUGAGUACGCACAAAGUGGGCGGAAUUCGUGGUGUAGCGGUGAAAUGCUUAGAUAUCACGAAGAACUCCGAUUG